rnacentral:rRNA from 1 species
AUGCAUGCCCUUAUCGGCAUGGUUCCUCCGGAGCCUCAGGAACCAGAAGCAGAAGACAAGAAGAAGGAAAGAGUCGCAGCCGGUGCUCCUUUCACCUGGAUUGCAUGGAACUUUGGUUCUUGCCCUGAGGAUGCUAAUGAGGAUGAGGUCAAGACAUAUGCUCGCGUCUACAUGUGGUACGUUAUAUCCAGGACUAUGUUUGCUGAUGGCACAGGCAAGAAUGCUCCAUGGAUGUGGCUGAAGGCGUUGACCGUCUUCGAUAGAAAAUGGAGUUGGGGUUCGGCGACACUGGCUUACUUAUAUAGAUAG